UACGUAGGGCGCAAGCGUUGUCCGGAAUUAUUGGGCGUAAAGAGCUCGUAGGCGGUCUGUUGCGUCGGCUGUGAAAUCCCGAGGCUCAACCUCGGGUCUGCAGUCGAUACGAGCAAACUAGAGUGUUGCAGGGGAGACUGGAAUUCCUGGUGUAGCGGUGAAAUGCGCAGAUAUCAGGAGGAACACCGGUGGCGAAGGCGGGUCUCUGGGCAACAACUGACGCUGAGGAGCGAAAGCGUGGGGAGCGAACAGG
rnacentral:rRNA from 1 species